rnacentral:tRNA from 1 species
GGAUUGCUAGCUCAGUUGGUUUAGAGCGCUACUUUGACAGAGUAGAGGUCACUGGUUCGAGCCCAGUGCAAUCCA